rnacentral:rRNA from 1 species
UUGGAGGGCAAGUCUGGUGCCAGCAGCCGCGGUAAUUCCAGCUCCAAUAGCGUAUAUUAAAGUUGUUGCAGUUAAAAAGCUCGUAGUUGAAUUUCGGGAUCAAUAUUUCGGUCAUGCCGUUGGUAUGCACUGUUAUCAUUGAUUUCUCACCUUCUAAAGAACCGUAAUGCCAUUAAUUUGGUGUUACGGGGAAUUAGGACUGUUACCUUAGAAAAAUUGAGUGUUUAAAGCAGGCUCACGCUUGAAUACAUUAGCAUGGAAUAAUGAAAUAGGACAUCCGAUUCUAUUUUGUUGGUUUCUAGGAUCGAUGUAAUGAUUAAUAGGGAUAGGUUGGGGGCAUUAGUAUUCAAUUGUCAGAGGUGAAA